GACGAACGCUGGCGGCGUGCUUAGCACAUGCAAGUCGAACGGAAAGGCCUGCUUUCUCUUGUGGAUUGCGGGUACUCGCGUGGCGAACGGGCGAGUAUCACGUGAGUUAUCUGCCCCCAACUCUGGUAUAAGCUUGGGAAACUGGGUCUAAUUCCCGAUAGCACUGCAGGGUGGGGUCGGUGGUUGAAGACGUUGUUCUAGUGGUUGGGGAUGAGCUCGUGGCCUAUCAGCUGGUUGGUGGGGUAGUGGCCUACCAAGACGGCGACGGGUAGCCUGCCUGGGAUGGUGGACCGGCACAGUGGGACUGAGAUACUGCCCAGGCUCCUAGGGCAGGCAGCAGAGGGGAAGAAUGCACGGUGGGCGGAACCCUGAUGCAGGGACGCCGAGUGGGGGAUGCCGGGCUUCGGGUUAUAACCUCCUUUCGACAGCGCGGAGGCCACCUGGAUGAAAGGGUAGUGACGGUAGUGGUAGAAGAAGCACCGGCUAACUACGUG
rnacentral:rRNA from 1 species